rnacentral:rRNA from 1 species
GACGAACCGAGCGAACGUUAUUCGGAAUCACUGGGCUUAAAGGGCGCGUAGGCGGGCGAUCAAGUCGAGGGUGAAAGCCCCCAGCUCAACUGGGGAAGUGCCUCCGAUACUGGUCGUCUCGAGGGGGAUAGGGGCAUGCGGAACUUCCGGUGGAGCGGUGAAAUGCGUAGAUAUCGGAAGGAACACCGGUGGCGAAAGCGGCGUGCUGGAUCCCUUCUGACGCUGAGGCGCGAAAGCCAGGGGAGCGAACGGG